UACGGGGGGGGCAAGCGUUGUUCGGAAUUACUGGGCGUAAAGGGCUCGUAGGCGGCCAACUAAGUCAGGCGUGAAAUCCCCAGGCUCAACCUGGGAACUGCGUCUGAUACUGGAUGGCUUGAAUCCGGGAGAGGGAUGCAGAAUUCCAGGUGUAGCGGUGAAAUGCGUAGAUAUCUGGAGGAACACCGGUGGCGAAGGCGGCGACCUGGGUAGAUACUGACGCUGAGGUGCGAAAGCGUGGGGAGCAAACAGG
rnacentral:rRNA from 1 species